UGAGCAAUCUGCCCUUCUCAUCGGAAUAAGCGUUGGAAACGACGUCUAAUGCCGAAUACGACCUCCUUUCGCAUGAUCGGAGGUGGAAAGCUCCGGCGGAGAAGGAUGAGCUCGCGGCCUAUCAGCUAGUUGGUGUGGGUAAUGGCUCACCAAGGCGACGACGGGUAGCCGGCCUGAGAGGGUGACCGGCCACACUGGGACUGAGACACGGCCCAGACUCCGUAGGGAGG
rnacentral:rRNA from 1 species